rnacentral:rRNA from 1 species
AGCCCAGAGCCUGAAUCAGUGUGUGUGUUAGUGGAAGCGUCUGGAAAGGCGCGCGAUACAGGGUGACAGCCCCGUACACAAAAAUGCACAUGCUGUGAGCUCGAUGAGUAGGGCGGGACACGUGGUAUCCUGUCUGAAUAUGGGGGGACCAUCCUCCAAGGCUAAAUACUCCUGACUGACCGAUAGUGAACCAGUACCGUGAGGGAAAGGCGAAAAGAACCCCGGCGAGGGGAGUGAAAAAGAACCUGAAACCGUGUACGUACAAGCAGUGGGAGCACGCUUAGGCGUGUGACUGCGUACCUUUUGUAUAAUGGGUCAGCGACUUAUAUUCUGUAGCAAGGUUAACCGAAUAGGGGAGCCGAAGGGAAACCGAGUCUUAACUGGGCGUUAAGUUGCAGGGUAUAGACCCGAAACCCGGUGAUCUAGCCAUGGGCAGGUUGAAGGUUGGGUAACACUAACUGGAGGACCGAACCGACUAAUGUUGAAAAAUUAGCGGAUGACUUGUGGCUGGGGGUGAAAGGCCAAUCAAACCGGGAGAUAGCUGGUUCUCCCCGAAAGCUAUUUAGGUAGCGCCUCGUGAAUUCAUCUCCGGGGGUAGAGCACUGUUUCGGCAAGGGGGUCAUCCCGACUUACCAACCCGAUGCAAACUGCGAAUACCGGAGAAUGUUAUCACGGGAGACACACGGCGGGUGCUAACGUCCGUCGUGAAGAGGGAAACAACCCAGACCGCCAGCUAAGGUCCCAAAGUCAUGGUUAAGUGGGAAACGAUGUGGGAAGGCCCAGACAGCCAGGAUGUUGGCUUAGAAGCAGCCAUCAUUUAAAGAAAGCGUAAUAGCUCACUGGUCGAGUCGGCCUGCGCGGAAGAUGUAACGGGGCUAAACCAUGCACCGAAGCUGCGGCAGCGACGCUUAUGCGUUGUUGGGUAGGGGAGCGUUCUGUAAGCCUGUGAAGGUGUGCUGUGAGGCAUGCUGGAGGUAUCAGAAGUGCGAAUGCUGACAUAAGUAACGAUAAAGCGGGUGAAAAGCCCGCUCGCCGGAAGACCAAGGGUUCCUGUCCAACGUUAAUCGGGGCAGGGUGAGUCGACCCCUAAGGCGAGGCCGAAAGGCGUAGUCGAUGGGAAACAGGUUAAUAUUCCUGUACUUGGUGUUACUGCGAAGGGGGGACGGAGAAGGCUAUGUUGGCCGGGCGACGGUUGUCCCGGUUUAAGCGUGUAGGCUGGUUUUCCAGGCAAAUCCGGAAAAUCAAGGCUGAGGCGUGAUGACGAGGCACUACGGUGCUGAAGCAACAAAUGCCCUGCUUCCAGGAAAAGCCUCUAAGCAUCAGGUAACAUCAAAUCGUACCCCAAACCGACACAGGUGGUCAGGUAGAGAAUACCAAGGCGCUUGAGAGAACUCGGGUGAAGGAACUAGGCAAAAUGGUGCCGUAACUUCGGGAGAAGGCACGCUGAUAUGUAGGUG